rnacentral:misc_RNA from 1 species
GAUGAAGAACGUAGCGAAAUGCGAUAAGUAAUGCGAAUUGCAGAAUUCAGUGAGUCAUCGAAUCUUUGAACGCACAUUGCGCCCUGUGGUAUUCCGCAGGGCAUGCCUGUUCGAGCGUCAUUUCAACCCUCAAGCUCUGCUUGGUGUUGGGCCCUGCCUGCUGCGGCCGGCCCUAAAGACAGUGGCGGUGCCGCCUGGCCCUGAGCGUAGUACAUCUCUCGCUCCAGUGCCCGGUGGUAGCCUGCCAGAACCCCAACUCUCGUGGUUGACCUCGGAUCAGGUAGGGAUACCCGCUGAACUUAAGCAUAUCAAUAAGCGGAGGA